rnacentral:rRNA from 1 species
AUUGAACGCUGGCGGCAUGCCUUACACAUGCAAGUCGAACGGCAGCACGGGAGCAAUCCUGGUGGCGAGUGGCGAACGGGUGAGUAAUAUAUCGGAACGUGCCCAGUCGUGGGGAUAACGUAGCGAAAGCUACGCUAAUACCGCAUACUAUCUAUGGAUGAAAGCGGGGGAUCGCAAGACCUCGCGCGAUUGGAGCGGCCGAUAUCAGAUUAGGUAGUUGGUGAGGUAAAGGCCCACCAAGGCGACGAUCUGUAGCUGGUCUGAGAGGACGACCAGCCACACUGGAACUGAGACACGGUCCAGACUCCUACGGGAGGCAGCAGUGGGGAAUUUUGGACAAUGGGCGCAAGCCUGAUCCAGCAAUGCCGCGUGCAGGAUGAAGGCCUCGGUUGUAACUGCUUUGUACGG